rnacentral:rRNA from 1 species
UAUGGUAAUUGUGUGCCAGCCUCUUCUUUACUACGUAGGGGGCAAGCGUUAUCCGGAUUUACUGGGUGUAAAGGGAGCGUAGACGGAUGGACAAGUCUGAUGUGAAAGGCUGGGGCUCAACCCCGGGACUGCAUUGGAAACUGCCCGUCUUGAGUGCCGGAGAGGUAAGCGGAAUUCCUAGUGUAGCGGUGAAAUGCGUAGAUAUUAGGAGGAACACCAGUGGCGAAGGCGGCUUACUGGACGGUAACUGACGUUGAGGCUCGAAAGCGUGGGGAGCAAACAGG